UAUUUCUACUGUGGAAGGGUACGGAACAGUCACUGAUGGAAUUCAAUUAUUAUCUAAAUUCCUGCCAUGAAACUAUAAAAUUUCACUUGCACUAACACCCUAAUACUAUACAGUUCCUAGAUGUAAAGAUUAAGGCUACUUUCACACUAGCGUUUUACGGAUCUUUUUGAAAUGGAUCUGUCACACAAAUAAAAUAACGGAGGCGAACGGGAAACCAUUUAAACUGAUCCGUUCGAACGGCUCCAUCUAUAAAGUAGAUCCGUUUGUCAUGUUUGUUUCUGUUUUGGCUUCCGUUUAAUUACCUACACUGUGAGGGAGAGAGGAUAAAUGGGUCUGAGAGUGUGGACCUCAAAAGAUGGGAAUGAGAGUGAUGGUACUGAGGGAAUGACCUGGAAAGUGCAUUGUGGAGAAUGAAGUACACCUACUCCACCACUGUGUCUGCUGUGUGGUCUGGGGGUAUCUGAAAAAUGUAGGCCACUGUCAGAGAGAAUGGCAGGAGAAGCAGUGUCACAUGAAUCCAAGUUUUUGUGAGAACCAGCAGGUUAAAAGAAUUAGUAUGAAAGAAGUUGUGAAUGUAGGGGAGAUUGUUACACACCAAUCAUGGAUUUCAGAGCGCAAAGUUAAAGAGGAAAGAGGGGACACACAACAAAUGUUUGAGCCUAGCAGGGUUUAUAUGGGAGAUGGGGAAUAGGUUGAAAUUUAAAUAAUGGUGGACCAGGGUUAGGAGAGAUAUCCCGUGAAGUUAGAAGGAUAAGUACGAAGAGAAAGAGCAGAUGGCUAUGUAAUUUGUAAGGGAGCUUAUGGUGCUGCACACUAAGACAUGAUGGGUUGAGAUGAUUCAAGAAAGUGAAUAAAGCAUGUAAGCUGUACAUGGAGCAGGAGAGGAGAGAGGGGCUGAUGUAGAAAGAGUGAAAUGGAGGAGUAAAAGGGCAAAGAGAAAAACUUUAACUUGUUCUAUUUUUUUUUUUUUUUUUAUGGUGCAGAAGGAUCACGGACCCAUACAAGUUGAAUGGGUCUGGAUCCGUUGCGGCUGCCGCACGGAUGGGGCCUGUGCAUUGGGGAACGCAAAUUGCUUGGCUGUGUGCAAGAGGCCUAAGACUGUGUCUACAUUUAUAGGGAGUGUGAUCCUCGAACUAGGGGUAAUUUAGCUCAUUAACCAAUUAAUCAGUUAAGCAAGGCACAUGAGAAGAGAUGCUAUGUGUAGGUAACCAAACAGAGCUAAGGAUGGGAAAGUGCCCGUAAAAUCACUGCAGAUCACAAGCUUUACAACAGUCACAUAAAUCACAUCAGUUCAGUUGGGAGAACAUCUAUAGGACUAAGCACACAUGCAGAAAACAAUUUAGAUAGAUAAAUAUCUCUAAACCUACAACUUUUGUAUUUUUCUUUUGACUGAGCUGUGUAAGAGCCAGAUUUUUGUAGCUUAUAUUGUUACUAUUUUGGAGUGUAUAAGACAUUUUGAUCACAUUUUAUUCUGUUUGUUUAGAUGACAUAUAAGCAAUA